CAGCAGCCGCGGUAAUACGUAGGGUGCGAGCGUUAAUCGGAAUUACUGGGCGUAAAUCGUGCGCAGGCGGUUGUGUAAGACAGGUGUGAAAUCCCCGGGCUUAACCUGGGAACUGCGCUUGUGACUGCACAGCUAGAGUAUGGCAGAGGGGGGGUGGAAUUCCACGUGUAGCAGUGAAAUGCGUAGAGAUGUGGAGGAACACCGAUGGCGAAGGCAGCCCCCUGGGCCAAUACUGACGCUCAUGCACGAAAGCGUGGGGAGCAAACAGGAUUAGAUACCCGGGUAGUCCCUGUCUCUUAUA
rnacentral:rRNA from 1 species